GUCUUUCGAUAUGGAUAGAGUAAUUUGAAAGUGCCACAGUGACGUAGCUUUUAUAGAAAUAUAAAAGGUGGAACGCGGUAAACCCCUCGAGUGAGCAAUCCAAAUUUGGUAGGAGCACUUGUUUAACGGAAUUCAACGUAUAAACGAGACACACUUCGCGAAAUGAAGUGGUGUAGACAGAUGGUUAUCACCUGAGUACCAGUGUGACUAGUGCACGUGAUGAGUACGAUGGAACAGAACAUGGCUUAUAGAA
rnacentral:RNase_P_RNA from 1 species